rnacentral:ncRNA from 1 species
UUGUCGGGGUGCCUCAUUUUAGAGGCUGAGAUCACAAAAGUGGAUCCCGUUGAACCUGAUCUGGUUAAUACCAGCGUAGGAAACAAGAU